rnacentral:misc_RNA from 1 species
CACAAACUAUUGACACAAACACACGCGAACCAAAUCGUCCGCACAGGUGGUGGCAAUGAAAGAGAGAAUCUGCAUGUCGCCUUUCGGGGUAUAGCAAGCAGCACUCUUCUGCCAUCGCCUCUGUGCCGGGCGUAAAUUCUCAUUGAGAGGAUGUGAGGGCACCACAGGAAGCUUUUCCACAGGAAGUCGCCAUCCUUCUCCCUCCACGGCGGCGCUUCUGUGCUUGGCAGUUUUUUUUUUUGCCUUCCAGGGAGGAUGCCGCCAAUGGAGCCCCAUAUAAUAUAUACAUCAUCAUAUGCCCCUUUUUUUCUUAACCGCUUGCCACAGCUUCUUCUAUGAGGAGCUUGUGGGAAG